UACGGAAGGGGGCUAGCGUUGCUCGGAAUCACUGGGCGUAAAGCGCACGUAGGCGGAUUGCUAAGUCAGGGGUGAAAUCCUGGAGCUCAACUCCAGAACUGCCUUUGAUACUGGCGACCUUGAGUCCGGGAGAGGUGAGUGGAACUGCGAGUGUAGAGGUGAAAUUCGUAGAUAUUCGCAAGAACACCAGUGGCGAAGGCGGCUCACUGGCCCGGUACGUGACGCUGAGGUGCGAAAGCGUGGGGAGCAAACAGG
rnacentral:rRNA from 1 species